rnacentral:rRNA from 1 species
UACGUAGGUGGCAAGCGUUGUCCGGAAUUAUUGGGCGUAAAGCGCGCGCAGGCGGUCCUUUAAGUCUGAUGUGAAAGCCCACGGCUCAACCGUGGAGGGUCAUUGGAAACUGGGAGACUUGAGUGCAGAAGAGGAUAGUGGAAUUCCAAGUGUAGCGGUGAAAUGCGUAGAGAUUUGGAGGAACACCAGUGGCGAAGGCGACUAUCUGGUCUGUAACUGACACUGAGGCGCGAAAGCGUGGGAGCAACAGG